GACGAACGCUGGCGGCGUGCUUAACACAUGCAAGUCGAACGGUUAACGCGGGGGCUUGCUCCCUCCGGAUCAGUGGCGAACGUGUGAGUAACACGUGAGCCAUCUGCCCCGCACUCUGGUAUAAUCGUUGGAAACGACGUCUAAUACCGGAUACGCCGCGGGUGGGCAUCCUCUCCUCGUGGAAAGCACUGCGGUUCGGUAUGAGCUCGCGGCCUAUCAGCUUGUUUGUGGGGUAACGGCUCACCAAGGCGACGACGGGUAGCCGGCCUGAGAGGGUGACCGGCCACACUGGGACUGAGACACGGCCCAGACUCCUACGGGAGGCAGCAGUGGGGAAUAUUGCACAAUGGGCGGAAGCCUGAUGCAGCAACGCCGCGUGAGGGACGACGGCCUUCGGGUUGUAAACCUCUUUUAGCAGGGAAGAAGCGAAAGUGACGGUACCUGCAGAAAAAGCACCGGCUAACUACGUG
rnacentral:rRNA from 1 species